UAGGGAAUCUUCGGCAAUGGGGGCAACCCUGACCGAGCAACGCCGCGUGAGUGAAGAAGGUUUUCGGAUCGUAAAGCUCUGUUGUAAGAGAAGAACGUGUGUGAGAGUGGAAAAUUCACACAGUGACGGUAACUUACCAGAAAGGGACGGCUAACUACGUGCAG
rnacentral:rRNA from 1 species